rnacentral:rRNA from 1 species
GUGAAUACGUUCCCGGGUCUUGUACACACCGCCCGUCACACCACGAGAGUUUGUAACACCCGAAGCCGGUGGAGUAACCUUUUAGGAGCUAGCCGUCGAAGGUGGGACAAAUGAUUGGGGUGAAGUCGUAACAAGGUAGCCGUAUCGGAAGGUGCGGCUGGAUCACCUCCUUUCUAAGGA